AACAUACUCCCUCCGUCCAACAAAAGAUGUCUCAAAUUUGUCAAAAUUUGGAUGUAUUUAGACAUGACUUACUGUAUAGAUGCAUUUAAAUUUAGUUAAAGUUGAGACAUCCUUUGUUGGACGGAGGGAAUACUAG
rfam:Brachypodium distachyon strain Bd21 chromosome 2, whole genome shotgun sequence.